rnacentral:rRNA from 1 species
CAGUAGCCGCGGUAAUACGGAGGGUGCAAGCGUUAAUCGGAAUUACUGGGCGUAAAGCGCACGCAGGCGGUCUGACAAGUCAGAUGUGAAAUCCCCGGGCUUAACCUGGGAACUGCAUUUGUGACUGUAUAGCUAGAGUACGGCAGAGGGGGAUGGAAUUCCGCGUGUAGCAGUGAAAUGCGUAGAUAUGCGGAGGAACACCGAUGGCGAAGGCAAUCCCCUGGGCCUGUACUGACGCUCAUGCACGAAAGCGUGGGGAGCAAACAGGAUUAGAUACCCCCGUAGUCCCUGUCUCUUAUAC